rnacentral:piRNA from 1 species
UGCAGAUGGUGUCCUGCUUUGCUGGACUGA